GAUGAACGCUGGCGGCGUGCCUAACACAUGCAAGUCGAGCGGUAUAUAGUGGAAUGAAACUUCGGUCGAGUGAAGCUAUAGAGAGCGGCGGACGGGUGAGUAACGCGUAGGCAACCUGCCCCAUACAGAGGGAUAGCCUCGGGAAACCGGGAUUAAAACCUCAUAACGCAGCUGGUUCACAUGGACUGGCUGCCAAAGAUUUAUCGGUAUGGGAUGGGCCUGCGUCUGAUUAGCUAGUUGGUGAGGUAACGGCUCACCAAGGCAACGAUCAGUAGCCGACCUGAGAGGGUGAUCGGCCACACUGGAACUGAGACACGGUCCAGACUCCUACGGGAGGCAGCAGUGGGGAAUAUUGCACAAUGGGCGAAAGCCUGAUGCAGCAACGCCGCGUGAGCGAUGAAGG
rnacentral:rRNA from 1 species